ACCCCCACCCUCCUUCCCAGUCUGGCUUGCUUCCAGGUUGUCUGCUGCAGUCACUGUUCAUGAAUGUGCUACUGGAACCUUCCACAAGUGUGGCACUCCAAAUACUGUGUCUUGCAAGGUGUCAAUCACACGGAUCCGGACAUGGUUGAUCUUUCUAGAAUACCGUCAAUAAUGUUGCCAAUACGGCACAAGCUCAUGUUUUUCCUCUCGGUGUCAUAGAACCCGAGAAGAGUUAGUUUUGGGUGUUUCACCGCAAGGAGCAUGGCGUGCCUGACCCUUGCUCAACGACAUGCCAGGUCUUUCACCGCAGGGGUGGAGACCCACAAGCCUGCAUAGUGCAGUCCACGCCUUCCCAAGAUGAUCUCAUUCUGCAGGAAGCAGGCUGUGGCCACUUCCGCAUGAAGGCGACAGAGCAGGUGUCCAGUCGCCUGCCUUGUGUGUGUGUGUGUGUGUGUGUGUGUGUGCAUGCUGCAUUUCGGCUCAGCCUUUGCUCAUAAACAACCGUGAUUGAGCUGACUUUCGUAGAAGACGCAACAGCGACAUCUGGUGACUGGCCGCACAAAUUGCAGGUCACUAGGAAUACUGUAAAGCAGCGUUUUUCAAACAGUGACAGUACAUUAUAUGUAUUUGUGGUAGUAGGGAUUGGUUACUUAGUUUUUGUGUUUCUUUUAAAUCAUCAUUAAAACAUUUAUUUACGUAGACAUCAAUAUUAAAUCUAAUAAUAUUCCAGUCAUAUUGCACUCAACUCAGUACUUUUCCACUUAAAAUUUUAGAGGCCAAAACGUGUCAUUAAAUUUCAAUGAAACAAUUUUGCAAUCAUUGCAAAACCCCAGUUGGCAUCCGUAAGGUGAGAAACACUAUUGAAUUAAAAAAAAACAACAACUCAUGACAAAACAAAAAGGUGGUGGUGGUUGAUCUCGGGGCCAUAUUGUGUCUUUGAAGACAAGAGUCACGUCUUCAAUGAAGGUGAAAGUACCGUUAAAUGUUCAUUUAUCCCAUCCAUUCAUCAUUUAUAUGUAUUUACAUGCAUUUCAAGAUGUUAUUUAUAGUUGUAAAACUAUUUUAAAAUGUGUUUUGUGUUACUAUUUUUCUGGAAUGGAUUAAUUGGAUUUGCACUAUUUCUUAUCGGAAAAAUUGAUUCACUUCCGGUCCGUUCCGGUUCAAGUCGGACCUUCUGGAACGAAUUAAUGACGCUAAACAGGGUUCCACUGACCAAUAUAAUUAAUUACAGCACAGCUGUGCGUAGUUCUGUUUUUUGUGACCACAAUACCAUGUAAAAGCGUUUAGUAUUAACUUUUUAUCAAGAGGUUUUCUGUCUGUAAAAAGUAAAAGUGUGUGCAUGGCUUUAUUAUGGCUUUUCUCAAGCUACUGAGUCUCCCCUGAAGUUUUUGGUUCCUACCUAGGCGCAUAUAAGUGAAUGAGGCGGAACUAAUUCUCUGUAAAAUCGUCGUUUCCGCACGUGCACGUUUAAUGAUUACACCCAUAGAAACUAAGCUCCGUUGUUUGCUACAAUUUAGAGCUCAAAAGCUAAUAGGUGCUAAAAGUUAAAUAUCAUCUUUAUAAUUCCCUCCUAAGGCACGUGUACAGCCAUUAAAGUACAUUAUAUGUGUUUUGUAUUAUUUUCGUUUCAGUCUCUUAGUGUUUUAGUUUACAGUAUGCUGUACCAGCUAAUGUUAAUUAUGAAUGUGUUGCACAUGUGAUGCUUGUUUGUAGAUGUAAAUGUAUGUAAUGUGGUGGGUUUAUUUACACGAUUGUAAGAAAGAAAAAUUGUUGAAUGAUAAGAAAACGAAAUUGUAGACAUAAUUCUAUUGUACAUUUGUGUAUUAUGUGACCAGUAAUUAAUUGUAUUUUGUAUCUGUUUGAACCCCUUUUAGUUCUCACGUUGGUUUUGUAAUAAAUCAGUAAAACACAAGAACUAGUUGCUGUCUGAUCGUUGCACAUCCGAGGAAGUUACACCUCACCUGGGAGGAAUCCGAACAAGAUGCCCGAGUGACCUCAGCUGACUCCUCGCCGUGUGAAUGACCUCUGUGCCCCUCCCGGAUGACCGAGCUCCUCACUCGGUUAGGAAACAGUUUUCUUGCGGCAACAGAAACAAGCCAACGCAGCCAGAAGGAGGAGCAAAGGGAUGCCGAUGCCCAGAACCAGGCCCAGAAUGAGGUCCAGAUCUGUGCUGCUCGAUGUAUCCCGAUCUGCUAAGUUUCAGAUAACAUCACAUGUGACAAAUAGACGUUUUCAAUCAAGAAAUGCAAA